GUAGAUCAGACUAAAAUCAGGCCAAUAGUUCUUCAUUCUAUUUCUCUCAUGUCUCAAAUGAAAGAAAAUCAUCCAAUUUGAAUCCAUAUCUAUCUUAUAAUUCCAAGAACAUAUAUCCAAUUAAUUAAUCGUGAGUUAUUAUAAUUAACCUCCUCCCGUUGGUGUACCUCCCCCUCAAGGAUAUCCACCAAAGGAUGCAUAUGGUUACCCUCCAAAAGGUUAUGCCCCGCAAGUUUAUCAAGGCUACCCUCCUCCGCGCGCCUCAAUAUGCCGCUCCGCCACCUCAAGAAAACUCAGCCACCACGAUGGGCUGUUUGGCUGCGUUUUGCUGUUGUUCAUAUCUUUUAGAGGCAUGCUUUUGACA